AGCUUGUUGGGGAGGUAAAAGCUCACCAAGGCGACGAUCUGUAGCGGGUCUGAGAGGAUGAUCCGCCACACUGGAACUGAGACACGGUCCAGACUCCUACGGGAGGCAGCAGUGGGGAAUUUUGGACAAUGGGGGCAACCCUGAUCCAGCCAUGCCGCGUGAGUGAAGAAGGCCUUCGGGUUGUAAAGCUCUUUCAGCCGGGAAGAAAACGCAUGGGUUAAUACCCUGUGUGGAUGACGGUACCGGAAUAAGAAGCACCGGCUAACUACGUGCCAGCAGCCGCGGUAAUACGUAGGGUGCGAGCGUUAAUCGGAAUUACUGGGCGUAAAGCGUGCGCAGGCGGUUUUGUAAGACAGGCGUGAAAUCCCCGGGCUUAACCUGGGAACUGCGUUUGUGACUGCAAGGCUAGAGUACGGCAGAGGGGGGUGGAAUUCCACGUGUAGCAGUGAAAUGCGUAGAGAUGUGGAGGAACACCAAUGGCGAAGGCAGCCCCCUGGGUCGAUACUGACGCUCACGCACGAAAGCGUGGGUAGCAAACAGGAUUAGAUACCCUGGUAGUCCACGCCCUAAACGAUGUCAACUAGGUGUUGGGAGGGUAAAACCUUUUAGUACCGGAGCUAACGCGUGAAGUUGACCGCCUGGGGAGUACGGCCGCAAGGUUAAAACUCAAAGGAAUUGACGGGGACCCGCACAAGCGGUGGAUGAUGUGGAUUAAUUCGAUGCAACGCGAAAAACCUUACCUACCCUUGACAUGCCAAGAACUUUCCAGAGAUGGAUUGGUGCCCGAAAGGGAACUUGGACACAGGUGCUGCAUGGCUGUCGUCAGCUCGUGUCGUGAGAUGUUGGGUUAAGUCCCGCAACGAGCGCAACCCUUGUCGUUAAUUGCCAUCAUUUAGUUGGGCACUUUAACGAGACUGCCGGUGACAAACCGGAGGAAGGUGGGGAUGACGUCAAGUCCUCAUGGCCCUUAUGGGUAGGGCUUCGCACGUCAUACAAUGGUCGGUACAAAGGGUCGCCAAGCCGCGAGGUGGAGCCAAUCCCAGAAAGCCGAUCGUAGUCCGGAUCGCAGUCUGCAACUCGACUGCGUGAAGUCGGAAUCGCUAGUAAUCGUGGAUCAGAAUGUCACGGUGAAUACGUUCCCGGGUCUUGUACACACCGCCCGUCACACCAUGGGAGCGGGUUCCGCCAGAAGUAGGUAGCCUAACCGCAAGGAGGGCGCUUACCACGGCGGGGUUCGUGACUGGGGUGAAGUCGAACAAGGUAGCCGUAGGGGAACCUGCGGCUG
rnacentral:rRNA from 1 species